rnacentral:rRNA from 1 species
AACGAACGCUGGCGGCAUGCCUAACACAUGCAAGUCGAACGAGACCUUCGGGUCUAGUGGCGCACAGGUGCGUAACGCGUGGGAACCUGCCCUUAGGUUCGGAAUAACUCCCCGAAAGGGGUGCUAAUACCGGAUAAUGUCUUCGGACCAAAGAUUUAUCGCCUUUGGAUGGGCCCGCGUUGGAUUAGCUAGUUGGUAGGGUAAAAGCCUACCAAGGCGACGAUCCAUAGCUGGUCUGAGAGGAUGAUCAGCCACACUGGGACUGAGACACGGCCCAGACUCCUACGGGAGGCAGCAGUGGGGAAUAUUGGACAAUGGGCGAAAGCCUGAUCCAGCAAUGCCGCGUGAGUGAUGAAGGCCUUAGGGUUGUAAAGCUCUUUUACCCGGGAUGAUAAUGACAGUACCGGGAGAAUAAGCGCCGGCUAACUCCGUG